ensembl:lncRNA
AUGUGUGUGGUUUGUGGUCAUUUGCUUUGGCAGCCAUGGGGAGCAGGGCCUCUGAUCCGGAUGGAUGUGUUCCCCGCCAGCCUCCUGGGAAGGCGCAGAGGUGCUUCUGGGCCGGAUGGGAAGGAGGGGCUGACCACACAGCCUCCCGGGGCCUCUGGCUUCUCCUUCCAGGGACUGGCCUUGAGCGCCGAGCCCUGUGACAAGGCCCUGGCUGUGACUGUCCACUGGCACCUCAGACUGGACUCGGCCUGGGGAUCCAGCUGGGUCUUGGCCGCCAUCCAGCUGCUUGCAACCUCUGGCUCAGGUGCCCUGGCUCCGUUGUCCACCGGCCUAUGGCCCCCCGGGAAGGCGGCCACUGUUGACCAGAAGCCCCGGGCUGGGUCCCGGACCUGCCACCACCAACUGCGUGACCCUGGGCAGAUGUGUCGUCUCCGUCGGGUGGACUGUCGUGUGCCAGGAUGGUGGCGUUUCCUUACUAAGAGGUUUCCCUUGGUGAGGAAAGGGGAAACAUACGGUGGGAGGCUGCUCUGCCUGCAGGGACGCGGGGCAGGCGAGAUGGAGGGCUGGGCUUCCCAGCCCAGGGGGAGUUCAGCUGGUGGGCACCAGGGCCCUCUGUGCCUUGUUCCAUACCACUCUGACGGGGAAACUGAAGCCCAGCCCUCUCUUUCCCACUCCGGGACUUGGCUCCGUCCUGGAACCAGUCACGGAGGCCGAGCGCCCAGUAGCCAGCGACACCCGUCCAGCUGGAGCAAAGGCUGGGGAAGCCGUGGGGCUCCUGCCCUGCCCCCUCGCUUCUCCCUGACUGCCCCCUCCUCUGCCCCGUCCCCGCCCCAAGCUGAAUGCUUGGCUGCAAAGUCCCAUCUGAGCCAUACACCACCUGCCUCCCUCUCUUUUCUCUUUGUCUUCCAGCCCCUCAUUAAUUCCAUUCACCCCAAGCCGCCCUGGGUGGGGGCCUUUCCUCCUGUAGGCCAAGGAAAUCUUCCUCCCCAAGUCUCCUCCCUACAAGGGCCUCCCCUCUCAUGGAUGGAUGUAGGUUUUUUUUUUGGCAAGAAGUUGGGGAGCAAAUUGGGGUGGGCUCCCCGCUGGCAUGCAGUGAGUGUUUUCUCUGCUGGGGGCGGGGAGUUGUGUGGACCCACCCUGUGA